UGUGCCUACCCGUGUGGACAAAAUAAGGCUAUUUACCAAGCCUUUUUGUUACCCUUACUUAUAUAACCUGUACAAAAAUCACUCUAUACUAACAUAAGGACACAUCAUAUAGCCAAAAUAACCACAACGGACAACAUUUCAUUUAUGAAAUUUACUCUGCUAGCUUGGCAGCAUUAUAAGGAAAGAAAAGAAAAGAGGGUAAGCGUGGGAGCUUAGUAAGUGCAUAUAUGUAAAUAAAGUGUAAUUAUAAGAAAAUCAUAUUCAUCCAACGGUAUCUUGUCAUGCUUAAAAGAUAUAAAUCACUUAACGUCUCUAUCUUACUCUUCUUUUCAUUCAUGUAUACUUAAUACACCUAGUCUUUUACUCAGGUCCUAACCAUGAGUUCAGUAUACAUACCUCAUCAAAGUAUUCACCAACUAAAUCUUCGGGUUACCCGCUGAACUCUCGAAAUACAUAAAGAUACGCGAGGAAUUUGUGUCUAAAUGUCGUAUAAGAAAUCAAGGCUACCUCGUGCUAUGAAACACUCACAUUUCAGCUACUCACAGGCAUUUUUAUCAAGUCAGGAUCCAGGCCCCGUAGCUAUCAUGUAACGUAUGCUCAUUGAACCACUCAUGGGUCUAUACACAAAGUUAGUACCCGGACCCAUGUUACCUAUAGCAUUUAUCUCAUGAACUCAGACUUAACUCAUGAGUUCAGACCACAUAAUUUUCAUAACAUGCCACUUUGUAUCCUAUACUAUGUCUAAGGUUCAACGAGACUUCAUAUCUAAUCGAAUAGCAUCGCAUUUACUCACAUUGUAAUUUACUCACAUAACAUGUCAUUUAAACAUUCAUGGAAAGAAUUACAAUUUAGAUACAUAACAACAAUAAGCUAAUUACACGUGUAUAUUAUUAAAAUAUACCAAAGUAAGCUUCAAUAACACAUUAUUUACAUAUGUACUUAUCUAAAUACAAAAUGAUGAAUACGAGCUUAAUCCCCGUAAACUUUAUUCUUACCCUGAUCAAGACCCGAAUCACGUUUCUCUUGAUCUAAAUUAAUAAAAUUCAUUUAUUUCAUCAGUAUAUCAAUUUAAAUGCCCGAAAGUUCAUAAUUGGGCAAAAUGACUAUUUUUCCCCAACUCUUUCACAAAAUGACCAUUUUACCCCUAUGCUCAAAAAUUAAUUUUUUAUUGAAUUUAUUUAUAUUAUUAGCCUAACCGAACCCUUUUUACUCUUAUAGUAAUCCAAAAUUUCCACUAUUUCACAUAUUUAUUAUCUAUUUUACAACUCAUGCAAAAUAGUCCCUAUUAGGGUUUUCAUGAGAAAUCCAUUCACAAAAGUUGUUUAUUACUCAC
rnacentral:lncRNA from 1 species